GUCGAACGGUAACAGGUUAAGCUGACGAGUGGCGAACGGGUGAGUAAUGUAUCGGAACGUGCCCAGUCGUGGGGGAUAACUGCUCGAAAGAGCAGCUAAUACCGCAUACGACCUGAGGGUGAAAGCGGGGGAUCGCAAGACCUCGCGCGAUUGGAGCGGCCGAUAUCAGAUUAGGUAGUUGGUGAGGUAAAGGCUCACCAAGCCGACGAUCUGUAGCUGGUCUGAGAGGACGACCAGCCACACUGGGACUGAGACACGGCCCAGACUCCUACGGGAGGCAGCAGUGGGGAAUUUUGGACAAUGGGCGCAAGCCUGAUCCAGCCAUGCCGCGUGCGGGAAGAAGGCCUUCGGGUUGUAAACCGCUUUUGUCAGGGAAGAAAAGGUUCUGGCUAAUACCUGGGACUCAUGACGGUACCUGAAGAAUAAGCACCGGCUAACUACGUGCCAGCAGCCGCGGUAAUACGUAGGGUGCAAGCGUUAAUCGGAAUUACUGGGCGUAAAGCGUGCGCAGGCGGUUAUGCAAGACAGAGGUGAAAUCCCCGGGCUCAACCUGGGAACUGCCUUUGUGACUGCAUGGCUAGAGUACGGUAGAGGGGGAUGGAAUUCCGCGUGUAGCAGUGAAAUGCGUAGAUAUGCGGAGGAACACCGAUGGCGAAGGCAAUCCCCUGGACCUGUACUGACGCUCAUGCACGAAAGCGUG
rnacentral:rRNA from 1 species